UACGGGGGGGGCAAGCGUUGUUCGGAAUUACUGGGCGUAAAGGGCUCGUAGGCGGCCAACUAAGUCAGACGUGAAAUCCCUCGGCUUAACCGGGGAACUGCGUCUGAUACUGGAUGGCUUGAGUUCGGGAGAGGGAUGCGGAAUUCCAGGUGUAGCGGUGAAAUGCGUAGAUACUGGGAGGAACACCAGUGGCGAAGGCGGCUCACUGGACCGGUACUGACGCUGAUGCGCGAAAGCGUGGGGAGCAAACAGG
rnacentral:rRNA from 1 species